rnacentral:rRNA from 1 species
AUGGCCAUCUUCGAUGAGUUCUACGUUGGGUCCAUUGGCCUCGGACGCCUCAACUAUGGGAUAAUCUCGCUCAUCCCCAAGGUGACGGGGGCUACCGACAUCUGCCAGUUUCGCCCGAUCACGGUCAUCAACGUGAUUUUCUGGAUUCUGGCGAAAGGGUACGCCAAUAGGGUAACCCUGCUAGCUGACCACAUUACCCACCCUAACCAGUCUGCCUUCAUCCUAGGACAGUAUAUCCUGGAUGGGGUGCUAGUUCUUCACGAAGUCCUCCAUGAGGUUCGGUCUAAGCACCUCAAGGCGGUGUUCCUGAAGAUCGAUUUUCAUAAAGCGUACGACACUAUUUGUUGGCCCUUCCUUCGGGAAGUUCUGCUUUGGAAAGGAUUUGACGGCCGAUGGAUUUCCAAAGUGAUGCAGAUGGUUUCCUGCGGCCGCACUGCUGUGAACAUCAAUGGUGAGAUUGGCCCAUACUUCCCUACCUUCUAUGGGGUUAGACAAGGCGACCCCUUCUCCCCAUUCUUGUUCAACAUGGUGGUGGGCGCGCUUGUGAUACGUCUCCAUCGUAUCUAUAAUUUUUGA